UCCACACCGUAAACGAUGAUUACUAGUUGUGUGCGAUAUAUUGUACGUGACUGCGCGAAAGCAUUAAGUAAUCCACCUGGGGAGUACGUUCGCAAGAAUGAAACCCAAAGGAAUUGACGGGGGCCCGCACAAGCGGAGGAACAUGUGGUUUAAUUCGAUGAUACGCGAGGAACCUUACCCAGGCUUAAAUGAAGAUUGACAGGUUUGGAAACAGACUUUUCUUCGGACAAUUU
rnacentral:rRNA from 1 species